GGACCAGACUUUGAUCCUGGCUCAGGAUGAACGCUAGCGGCAGGCCUAACACAUGCAAGUCGAGGGGCAUCACGAGGUAGCAAUACUUUGGUGGCGACCGGCGCACGGGUGCGUAACGCGUAUGUAACCUACCUAUAACGGGGGCAUAACACUGAGAAAUUGGUACUAAUUCCCCAUAAUAUUCGGAGAGGCAUCUCUCCGGGUUGAAAACUCCGGUGGUUAUAGAUGGACAUGCGUUGUAUUAGCUAGUUGGUGAGGUAACGGCUCACCAAGGCAACGAUACAUAGGGGGACCGAGAGGUUAACCCCCCACACUGGUACUGAGACACGGACCAGACUCCUACGGGAGGCAGCAGUGAGGAAUAUUGGUCAAUGGACGCAAGUCUGAACCAGCCAUGCCGCGUGCAGGAAGACGGCUCUAUGAGUUGUAAACUGCUUUUGUACGAGGGUAAACUCACCUACGUGUAGGUGACUGAAAGUAUCGUACGAAUAAGGAUCGGCUAACUCCGUGCCAGCAGCCGCGGUAAUACGGAGGAUUCAAGCGUUAUCCGGAUUUAUUGGGUUUAAAGGGUGCGUAGGCGGUUUGAUAAGUUAGAGGUGAAAUCCCGGGGCUUAACUCCGGAACUGCCUCUAAUACUGUUAGACUAGAGAGUAGUUGCGGUAGGCGGAAUGUAUGGUGUAGCGGUGAAAUGCUUAGAGAUCAUACAGAACACCGAUUGCGAAGGCAGCUUACCAAACUAUAUCUGACGUUGAGGCACGAAAGCGUGGGGAGCAACAGGAUUAGAUACCCUGGUAGUCCACGCAGUAAACGAUGAUAACUCGUUGUCGGCGAUACACAGUCGGUGACUAAGCGAAAGCGAUAAGUUAUCCACCUGGGGAGUACGUUCGCAAGAAUGCAACUCAAAUGAAUUGACGG
rnacentral:rRNA from 1 species